UGGCUUAAAAAAUAUAACAGAUAUGUACCCAGGAAACAGCUGCUAAACAUCACCAAAAUUUCCUUGAUCAGCUUUGUUUUCCUCAAGCAUUUCCCAGUUACAGUCAGCUUGCUUGGAACAACUAUUUCUUACACACACACACACACACACACAGAAACACCACUGAUGUGAUGACAAGAGAUUUUGUUUAAAUGACUGACAGUUUUGUGAGGGUUCUCAAUGAUUCAAAAACAGUAACAGCAAAAUUAAGGCUGGAUUUUCUUUCUUUUUUUUUUUUUUCCUAUGAUGCACCUUGUAGAACCAGAGACCAUCUAGAGAAGAUCUAGUGUGGGUUGUGUUGAAGAUGGAAACGAGGAGAGGUCUGUAGAGCUCAGAGGGCCAGUGGAGACAGGGAGCUUACACCUGCGCGGUCUAGUAUGCUCGGAAGCUCGGAGGCCCAGCUUGUCCUCCACACAACCAUGGGGGAGCAAUCUGUUGAAUCUGUUACUUUGAAAGCAAUUGGCUCUCUAUCCACUGCUCGCUUUCCAAACAGCCAACUAGAACGCUCUAUGAUGAAAUUUUGUGUGCUCACACACCUUAAUGCAGUUCCUCACCAACCUUUGGUUCGGAGAUUACAGAUGAGGCUGUUGCCACGACCAGUGUGAGGGUCUGGACAUCGAAGUCUGCUUUUGUGAGCUUCCGAGUUAGAUCAUCACCCUGUCUGACAAAUGGGGAGAGCAGGACACGUUCUUCGAGGGAACGCCUCAGGAGGAGUUGGCUGGAUGCUUUCAUGCGUACAUCUCCUUCUCCUCGACCAAUAUUAACAGAUCCUGGGAGACAAAGACUGGUUUGCUUCUCUUUUUAUCCACCCCCCGGCCCCCGGAGCCUAGCAAGGAGUCACUGGACGGGUGCGUGAUGCACCAAAGAUGGAUAGGUAGGUUUUGAAAGACUGAGAAGCACAACCCUAAGUGAUGAGGACAAAUGAGCAGGGAACACGGGGCCCCCAAAAGGAGAGGAUUCCAGCAGUCAGAACCCAAAGAUAAACAUUGCCUGUUUUAUAGCUUUGCUUCAGGAGACUGAGGUUCCAGGGCGGGCAGAGCUAAUUCCACACUUAAACAAAUAUAUUCUAUACGGCUCACAAGGAGCUCACACAGUCAUCGCCAGCAGCCUAACAGGGCCCCGUCCCCUGCUAUUAGCCACGCUCAAGACGGCCACACAAUUCUUUCCCCGGAGCCUGAGAUGAGCAAAGGCCAUGGCCACCGUGCCUACUGCAAUUCUUACAGCCCUCCUGUCUGAUUGGCUUUUUAAGAUUUUUUAAGUGAUUUGGAUGCUGAGAAACAAGAGAAAUGAGAAAAAGUAGCUGGUGCAGGAUACCUGGAUAUCUUAUCCUUUACUUACUUCUUUACUUAUGCCUGCAAAUGCUUUACAGAUGCUCCACGGAGAGGCUGCCGAGGUUGGGGGGUUGGAGGGGAUUUGUCCCCUGGGGGCUUUUUUUUUUUCCCUUUGAAAGCC
rnacentral:lncRNA from 12 species